CAAGAAGCUCUUCUGCCCUCCACUCGUUACCUGGAUUAAUGGCACCUGUUUGAACUGGUUAUCUGUAUGAAAGACACCUGGACACAGACUCCA